CACGGUACCGGCACGCAGACAUCAUGAAAGUAAUCAUCUUCCCUGUGUAUUACUAUAAUCCCGGGAGAAAAAAAAUCCCACUUUUUUGUUGUUGUUGACACUAUAUUUACAUAAAUUGCACAUACACACGUUAGAAUAAUCCAAUAUACUGGUAUUCUAUAAAAUGAAUUCUCAUUUCCUUUUUUGUAAAGUGCGAAUAUCCUUUCGAUCCCCAGCAAUGUUGGCGAACAAAAAUGUAUAUAUUAAACAUUUUUUAUACGUUUUGCACCCAAUGCAAAUCUUAAAAAACUAUCCGAUAUAUA
rnacentral:lncRNA from 1 species